CAGGCUAGGAGGCGGGGCCUGCCUGGCCGCCAUGGUAAUCCCCUGUGGUUGGUGAUCAAGGAAGAGCAUAGUGCCAGACCUAGGUGCCCUCCUGGGAAUGUUCCAGGAGGGCAGGAGUAGGAGGAGGAGUGUUAGAGUAGAGGGGAAAUGAUGAGAGCAGAAAGGGUAUCAUAAAGGAACCUCAGGGGUGAUAUAAGUGGACACAGACAUAUGUCACAAGGGCACGGGUUUAGAACAGGAAGGCUGUUGUACGUGGUUGGAGAGGGAGUUCAAAGAGUCAGAAAGCUGGUUUCAGAAGUUGAGAGGUGUUAGAGGGAGACAGGGCAGGACUUUGUAAGGUGACAAAGAAGUAGAGACUGAAACCCUGUCUCUACUACAAAUACAAAAAUUAGCCGGGCGUGGUGGCGGGCGCCUAUAGUCCCAGCAAGAGGAGUGAAUAGGUGGUCAAAUAAGGUCUUAGAGGAGCUAAAGGGGCAGGGAGCUUAUGGGCGAACAGGAAAGGUUUACAGCAGGACCCCGCAGGAUUCAUAGGGACGAAGUAAAGGAUAUUAUAAAAGGAACAGUGAGAGAGCUAACAGAAGUUUUACUUUGGGGGGCAGAGGUGGGAGGAUCACCUGAGCCCAGGAAUUCAAGACCAGCAUGGGCAACAUUGUAGCAAAAC
rnacentral:lncRNA from 10 species